CCUACGGGUGGCAGCAGUGAGGAAUAUUGGUCAAUGGGCGCGAGCCUGAACCAGCCAAGUAGCGUGAAGGAUGACUGCCCUACGGGUUGUAAACUUCUUUUAUAAAGGAAUAAAGUGCAGCACGUGUGCCUCUUUGUAUGUACUUUAUGAAUAAGGAUCGGCUAACUCCGUGCCAGCAGCCGCGGUAAUACGGAGGAUCCGAGCGUUAUCCGGAUUUAGUGGGUUUAAAGGGAGAGGAGAUGGGUUGUUAAGUCAGUUGUGAAAGUUUGCGGCUCAACCGUAAAAUUGCAAUUGAUACUGGCAGUCUUGAGUACAGUUGAGGUAGGCGGAAUUCGUGGUGUAGCGGUGAAAUGCUUAGAUAUCACGAAGAACUCCGAUUGCGAAGGCAGCUUACUAAACUGCCACUGACAUUGAUGCUCGAAAGUGUGGGUAUCAAACAGGAUUAGAUACCCGUGUAGUC
rnacentral:rRNA from 1 species